UGUUGCAUCCACCUCAGCCGGCAAAG
rnacentral:misc_RNA from 1 species